rnacentral:rRNA from 1 species
UACAGAGGUCCCAAGCGUUGUUCGGAUUCAUUGGGCGUAAAGGGUGCGUAGGCGGCGCGGUAAGUCGGGUGUGAAAUCUCGGAGCUUAACUCCGAAACUGCAUUCGAUACUGCCGUGCUUGAGGACUGGAGAGGAGACUGGAAUUUACGGUGUAGCGGUGAAAUGCGUAGAUAUCGUAAGGAAGACCAGUGGCGAAGGCGGGUCUCUGGACAGUUCCUGACGCUGAGGCACGAAAGUCAGGGGAGCAAACGGG